rnacentral:misc_RNA from 1 species
AACGAGGCCGACCUGCGGCUGAGUUACCUGCGGAAGGAUCAUUACACAAUACAAUAUGAAGGCUGUCCGCAGCUGGAGUAUUUUAUUACCCUUGUCUUUUGCGCACUUGUUGUUUCCUGGGCGGGUUCGCUCGCCACCAGGACCACCAAAUAAACCUUUUUUAUGCAGUUGCAAUCAGCGUCAGUACAAACAAUGUAAAUCAUUUACAACUUUUAACAAUGGAUCUCAGAUCGGAAGAGC